GUUUAACAAAAACAUGUCCUCUUGAUUAUAUUUUGAGGUCUGGCCUGCUCACUGAUAAAUUUAAAGAGCCGCGGUAUUUUGACCGUGCAAAGGUAGCAUAAUCAUUAGUCUUUUAAUUAAGGGCGUGGAAUGAAUGGCUUGACGAGAAAUUAACUGUCUCAUUAAUAAUUUAUAAAAUUUAACUUUUGAGUCAAAAGGCUUAAAUUUUUCUUUAGGACGAGAAGACCCUAUAGAGCUUAACAUAUAAUUUAUAUUUAUACUUUAGAUGUUUUUUAUAUAUUUAAUGAUAAUGUUUUGUUGGGGUGACAUGAAGAAUUAAUAAACUCUUCAUUAUAGAAUCAUUAAUUUAUGUUUAUUUUUGAUCCAUAAUUUAUGAUCAUAAGAUUAAGUUACCUUAGGGAUAACAGCGUAAUUGUUUUUGAGAGCUCAAAUCAACAAAGCAGAUUGCGACCUCGAUGUUGGAUUAAGAAAAAUUUUGGGUGCAGUAGCUCA
rnacentral:rRNA from 1 species